GUCUUUCAGGCAGUGCAGGUCAGCCUGGAGCCUGGAGAUCCCUGUGUAGAACAGAGACUCCCUCUCAGAAGCCACAGAGACGUUUGUGAAGCAGCUCAGUAGCUUUCUUACAGCGUCUUUGAAAGUGACUGGGGCCUUCUGAUCCACAUGAACACAGUAGAUGUUUUGGGGAGUGUAGAUGGCCCUCAAGAGUCUUUCAAAUGUAUCAGUCUUUGCGGAUGACCAUGACAUAGGCCAAAGGGAACUCGGCUUCGUCUUUGGACACAGGUUCCAUUAUGCAGUGAUUUCGGAUCAAGUAUCGCUGGCAGGUUAUUAUUUCUCAAUGGCGUCACUGGUAUAUUUUCAUCCAAGAACAUUUUCUUGCCUGUCACAAUCAUGCCACACACUUCUGCAAGGACUGAAGAGUUUGAGAUCUUCCCCCAUGGAAGAUAUUUUUGCGGGACCUAAUAGUUACUAUACAGGAAUAAAAGAGUUAUGGACGUGGCCAUAAGCCCUAGGACCAACCCAAAUGCCUCUACCUUUAUUUUUCCUAUGGUCUUUUCUGGAUUCAUCAUUCACCUGAUUUUAUGCCAUUGCUGAAGUCAGUCUGCAGGUCCCUGCCCAGACUUGAGAAAUGUGCUCUAGCAACUUAUUUGCAGCAAGAAGUGCAAUAUGACCAUUUACUUAAAAGAAGGAGGAUCAACCACAAGUCGGUAGCUCUUCUAUUUAAAAAAUCAGGUGACUCUUUGAACAUGAGCCAGUGGGGCCAGCUGACCACUUCACAAAAGCCAGGCACAGUUGGGCACCUCUGUCUAGGUCAACCACAAAUUAAGACCCUAGCAAAUCGGCCACAGCUGCCAGCUCAGGGUGUUUUUCCCAUGUGGAGUACAGGUGGAAUGUGUGUUCAUUUGGCACCUCUUUUUCCCAUGCAGAGCCACCAUCACCAUCACUGAUGUCACCUUUGAAUGCAAGGGACACUAUAUUUCUUCAACUUCAGGCAAUCACAGUUGUCCUGAAGUAGGUCACCAUUUACGUGGACAGCACCCAGAACUCCUCGAUAGUGGGGUCUCUUUACUUAAAAAUAAAGAUCAAGAAUUUAUAGUAUUUCAGGAUUGAAAGGAAUCUUGCAGAUUAUUCUCACCAAUUGAUUCAGUUACAAAUAAAGAACACUGACAAUGACCCAUAACGACUAUUCUAUCACAUUUUGUCUCCAUUUUCUCACUGAUGGCCUGAGAGGGCCUAUGGCUGCUUUCACGUUACAAUGGCAGGGCUAAGUUGUUGCCACAUCUGACCACCGAAGCUUAAAAUGUUUUCCAUCUGGCCUUUACCAGAGAAGGUUUGCUGACCCUCUCCUCUGUAUCUACGGAUGUCCCUUGUAUACCACUGUGCUUGCACUACAUCAAGACAGCGAUUGUGGACUUGAUACCAUUUUACAACUUUUUGCUUUAUUUUCAAGAUUUCCUCGUGAAUGCCAGAAUGACACGAUAUUUGGUAGC
rnacentral:lncRNA from 10 species